rnacentral:rRNA from 1 species
ACGGGAGGCAGCCGUGGGGAAUAUUGCACAAUGGGCGCAAGCCUGAUGCAGCAACGCCGCGUGAGGGAAGACGGUUUUCGGAUUGUAAACCUCUGCUAUUAGUGACGAAGAAGUGACGGUAGCUAAGGAGCAAGCCACGGCUAACUACGUGCCAGCAGCCGCGGGAUUACGUAGGUGGCAAGCGUUAUCCGGAAUUACUGGGUGUAAAGGGAGCCCAGGCGGAAUAGCAAGUCAGCGGUGAAAUGUAUGGGCUUAACCCAUGAACUGCCGUUGAAACUGUUAUUCUUGAGUGGAGUAGAGGCAGGCGGAAUUCCGAGUGUAGCGGUGAAAUGCGUAGAUAUUCGGAGGAACACCAGUGGCGAAGGCGGCCUGCUGGGCUCUAACUGGCGCUGAGGCUCGAAAGUGUGGGGAGCAAACAGGAUUAGAUACCCUGGUA